rnacentral:rRNA from 1 species
GAUGAACGCUGGCGGCGUGCCUAAUACAUGCAAGUCGAGCGAACGGACGAGAAGCUUGCUUUUCUGAUGUUGGCGGCGGACGGGUGAGUAACACGUGGAUAACCUACCUAUAAGACUGGGAUAACUUCGGGAAACCGGAGCUAAUACCGGAUAAUAUUUUGAACCGCAUGGUUCAAAAGUGAAAGACGGUCUUGCUGUCACUUAUAGAUGGAUCCGCGCUGCAUUAGCUAGUUGGUAAGGUAAUGGCUUACCAAGGCAACGAUGCAUAGCCGACCUGAGAGGGUGAUCGGCCACACUGGAACUGAGACACGGUCCAGACUCCUACGGGAGGCAGCAGUAGGGAAUCUUCCGCAAUGGGCGAAAGCCUGACGGAGCAACGCCGCGUGAGUGAUGAAGGUCUUCGGAUCGUAAAACUCUGUUAUUAGGGAAGAACAUAUGUGUAAGUAACUGUGCACAUCUUGACGGUACCUAAUCAGAAAGCCACGGCUAACUACGUG